UAAAUGAAUGAGAAAGGAAACAGGUUGCUGCAAGCUUCUGCUCUCACUUCCUUAUGAGAGAAGACAUAGUCGCUGUCCCAGAAAGACGGGGACUGUCGUGCGCGCUCAUCUCAGGCAGUCAUGGGUAACUGGGUGGAGAAUGAAGGACUGUCCAUCUUCGUCGUUCUUGUGUGGCUGGGGUUAAAUGUCUUCCUCUUUUGGUGGUACUAUCUUGCAUAUGAUAUCCCACCGAAAUUCUUCUACACCAGAGUGCUCCUUGGCCAUGCUUUGGCUCUGGCAAGGGCCCCUGCAGCCUGUCUGAAUUUCAAUUGCAUGCUGAUUCUGUUGCCAGUAUGUCGAAACUUGCUGUCCUUCCUCAGAGGAUCAAGUGCGUGCUGCUCUACCCGUGUCAGAAGACAGCUGGACAGGAACCUCACCUUUCACAAAAUGGUGGCAUGGAUGAUCGCCCUUCAUACUGCAAUCCACACCAUCGCACACUUAUUCAACGUAGAGUGGAGCGUGCAAGCCCGUGUUGAAGAGAAAGAAACUCUAGCAGCUGUGCUUUCUAGCCUUGGUGAUGACCCAAAUGAAAGCUAUAUCAACUUUUACAGAAAAACUAUUGGGAAUCCUGUGGGGGGUCUAUAUGUGGCUUUCACAUACUUGGCUGGUCUCACUGGAGUUAUAAUCACGCUGGCUCUCAUAUUAAUCAUCACAUCAUCCACCAAAACCAUCCGAAGAUCAUAUUUCGAAGUAUUUUGGUACACCCACCAUCUCUUUGUCAUCUUCUUUAUUGGCCUUGUCAUCCAUGGUGCUGGGCGUAUUGUACGGGGGCAGACAGCUGAGAGUUUGGCUGAACAUAAUCCAGAGCUUUGCUACAAGAACUUCACUGACUGGGGGAAGAAGGGGUCUUGCCCAAUCCCCCAGUUUUCAGGGAAUCCUCCUAUGACAUGGAAGUGGGUAGUAGGUCCCAUGUUUCUGUACCUGUGUGAGAGGUUGGUGCGGUUUUGGAGGUCUCAGCAGAAGGUUGUUAUCACAAAGGUGGUAAUUCAUCCCUUCAAGACAAUUGAGCUCCAGAUGAUGAAGAAGGGCUUCAAGAUGGAGGUCGGGCAAUACAUUUUUGUCAAAUGUCCAGCAGUGUCUAAACUGGAAUGGCAUCCAUUCACACUAACCUCUGCUCCAGAAGAAGAUUACUUCAGCAUUCACGUCCGUAUUGUAGGAGACUGGACAGAGGGCUUGUUCAAUGCCUGCGGAUGUGAUAAGCAAGAAUUCCAGGAGGCAUGGAAAUUACCCAAGAUAGCUGUGGAUGGCCCCUUUGGAACAGCGAGUGAGGACGUAUUCAGUUACGAAACUGUUAUGCUUGUUGGAGCUGGAAUAGGGGUCACGCCUUUUGCAUCUGUACUCAAGUCUGUUUGGUACAAAUACUGCCACGAUGCGACCAACCUAAAACUCAAGAAGAUUUAUUUUUACUGGCUUUGCAGGGACACUCAUGCCUUUGAAUGGUUUGCUGACCUCUUGCAAUCUCUGGAGGCUCAAAUGCAGGAGAGGAAUAACGCAGACUUUCUCAGCUAUAACAUCUACCUUACAGGCUGGGAUGAAUCUCAGGCCACUCACUUCGUAAUGCAUCAUGAAGAAGAGAAAGAUGUGAUUACAGGCCUUAAACAGAAAACCUUGUAUGGAAGACCUAACUGGGAAAAUGAGUUCAAAACUAUUGCAGGGCAGCAUCCUGGGUAAAUCUGUACAAAUUCAGAGUGUCUAUGGAAUUCCUCUAUCUAAAUGUCAUAGUAGCGCAAUCUUAUUCCUUUGGCUGACAAAGUUUAAGGAGCACUUUUUUUCUAUCUCCAGCUCCAGAAUAGGUGUUUUUCUGUGUGGACCUGAGGGCUUAGCUGAUACACUCAACAAGCAGAGCAUCAGCAACUCAGAAGCUGACCCACGAGGAGUACACUUCAUUUUUAACAAGGAAAAUUUCUAACUCCCAAGCAUAUUGGAGGCAUUCAAUACAACAUGUAAAGACUGGAUCUCUUUUUCUAUUUGGAGUCUGGGAAGGACAGUCCAGCUUCUAAUGUCAGCUACACUAAUGCAGAUCUGUUUGCUUCUUGGAAAUUAUUUUGGUGCUUAUUUUGGUGCUUAUUUUGGUGCAAGUUUUAUCUUAGGGAAAUUUGCACUGCCUUCUGCCUGCUUGCAAAUUAGUAUAAAUCUAUUUUCCUUGUUUCUGUGAGGGGAUUUCCCCUCAAUUAACUGCCUUUAUGCUCCUAUUAUUCAUAAUGACUGCUGAAGUGUCUAGGCAGCCAUAUGCAUGGCUGCCCAUUUGGGACCCAGUGGGCAUGCAUUUGGGACCCAAUUCAAACUGAUAAAGCUUAACGCUAUUAAUCAAUAAAACAUUCUAGCAUAAUGUUUGCUAUUAGGAGACAGCUUAUCCUGGGUGCAGCCAGGCCCUGAAAUGAGGGCUGUUCAGGAAAAGUGACUGGGAAAGAUUUUUCCUUACAAGAGGAAAUUUCCUUUGUGCACCAGCAUCUUUCAGACUUCCAAAUACAUGCCUAUACAUCUGUCCGAGAGAUAACACAGGCAGCUGAAAAGCAGCCAUUCCUCUUUAGGAAAGUAGAGCACUAGAAAGAAACCACCUGGAUUUCUGAGUGCCACCCUGUCAGGGUCCAAUUGGAGAAAACCCCUGUGUCAGAUCCUGUUUCGUUCGUGAUCCCAAGAGUGAAAACAAGAUGCAAACACCCACCCCAGCUGCUGGGGGGAUGAUGAGGAAAGAUUCAAACCAAGUCUUACACCUGGCAUCUAAGCCAUUGCUCAGCUGCUUUGAACACUCUCAGUUUCACAUCUUCAAAUUCAUGGUGCAGGGAUCCAAAUAAGAGGCUUUGUGCUCUAAAGACUGCAAUUUCUGAUUUUCAAGGCUGAAAAAACUUGUUGCUAAAUGAUUUAAUGGGUACUUUCUGGAGCAUUCUUCAAUGCAUACAGUGCUUUUGGCCCUAUUGUUUAGCUGUUCCUCUUUGAUGGUGAAACAGGUCUGAGAAAGCAAUGAUCAUGUGGGCAGUAGCUGGAAUAAAGUUUCUGAUGUGUACAAGACACCCAUACACAGCACAGUGCUCCUGUAUGUACACUACAGGUAACAGGUUCUUAAAAAAAAGGAACUGAAACUUUUAAUACCAGCAGCAGAGGGGAAAAAAAAAAAAAAGCGGGGACAGCACUAAAACCAGCAGCAUAGAAAUAAAUGAGAAAAACAAAUGCAAAAAGCCUUGAAAAGGCCACAGUUUAGUAUUGCAUCUCUCCUGUUCACCUUAAUGACUUUUAAACUCCACAGGCAAGACCUAUGAUAGCUCCUACACAGCAUAAGACCUUGCCAUAUUUAAAUAUUAUCCAAGCACUCCAUGCUACUUCAGAAGGUCAGCUUACCAGUUCCUAUUUAACAAAAUCAGUUUCUAAUGAAUGCUGGCAAAGAUCAACUCAGGGUGGGUAAUUUUUCAGUUCUUUCCCUCAGAAGGGUCAUAUUUAAAUCCACAAAAUUCUGUUAGAAGCACACCUAUUAAAUCAUAAUAGAGGUUGGACUAGAUGAUCUCAGAGGACCUUUCCAACCCUAACAAUUCUGUGAUAAACAGAAUUAAAGAAACUUCUGUGGAAUAAAAAGUAUUGCUACUGAAACAUAAUAAGGCUCUCAUCCUGUGCAGAGAGCAUUGAAAUAUUUGCCUUUGAUUUUAAUGGAAAUAUGUUCAGGCUUUUAUACUGUUAAAAAGUGGGCAAAGAGGAAUUGCAAGAGGUCUAAUGGAGACAGCAUAUUUAUUAUGUGAAGAGUCUUGAAGGGGUGUAUUUUAAUUCACCCUAAACAUUGCCAUGUUUGUUCUUAAAACUCCAGGGAUCUUUCCUUAGUCAGCGAGUUGUAAUGACACUCCCUGACCUGCUGCAGACUUGUAUCAGAGGUUGUUUGUCACCUUGAAGUCAGCAAAAGGAAUUCUAUGCUUGUUAAUAAAUAACAGUCUCCCUAAAAUGUAUAAAAGAAUAAGCAGGUGAGAGUUUCUCAGUUUCUUUCAAAGGUUUCUUAUAUUAAAUCCUGCUAUUAUAACAAGCCAUAUAUCAUCAGUCAUGGUCUGAAGGUUUUUAAAAUCUGGGAUACAUGAGUGAAAUUGAUAGCACUGAAAUCCAAACAUAAGAAACAAACUAGCUCCAGUCCUCCCCAGUCUUCAGCAAAGCACAGAGGGAUGUCAGUGGUACUGUUUUAAGUAAAUGCUACUGUCUUCUAUAGUGGUAAAGGAGUAAAGCCCUUCCUCCAAAUGCUUGCCUGGUCCAUAGAAGUUCCCCAGAUCAGUGGUUUCACUGAGGACCCACCUUAGACACAGACCUUUUCUUAAUCAGACAACUUUUAUAACACUUACAUUAGAUAUAAAGCCCAUGCCUGUGUUAAAUUUGUAGACGAUUGUGGCUGCGACACCAGCAGAGCUUCCCAGGCAGGACAUACCGUGCUCCUCAUUCACCUGGGGGAGAUGGCUAGGGCAGCAGACUGCAGGUGAGCUUAAAGGACAGUCCUCUUUUGCACCCAAAUGCCACUGCUUGCACUCUGACCAUUGCUGUCAGCUGGGACUGUCGCUGAAAAUUUCCUCCUUCCAUGUGGUUGGGGAUUUUCUCUCUUGGGGAUUUUCUGUCUUGGGAGAGAGAGAAAGAAGGGGUCACUUUCACAAUAAACUGAUUCUUUUGCUGUCAAA